GCCAGGUGCUGUGGUGCAUGCCUGUAGUCCCAACUACUUGGGAAGCUGAGCUAGGAAGAUCUCUUGAGCCCAGGAGUUCUGGGCUGUAGUGCACUAUGCCAAUCAGGUGCCUGCACUAAGUUCAGCAUCAAUAUGGUGACCUCCAGGGAGUGGAGGACCACCAGACUGACUAAGGAGGAGUGAACUGGAUCAGGUCAGAAAUAGAGCACAUCAAAACUUCUGUGCUGAUCAGUAUUGGGAUCAUGACUGUGAAUAGCCGCUGCACUCCAGCCUGGGUGAUAUGGUUUGGCUGU
rnacentral:SRP_RNA from 1 species